ACAAACUACUUUUAGACAUCACAAUCAUAGAAGAAGAAGAUCGAAGCAUAGAUAUCUAGCGCAUGCGAUCAUCAUCGUCACCGACUCCUCUUUUCAUAUAAUGCAGCAAAUUGAGCUCGAUUGAUCAAUGCAUAUGUCAAUUUCUAUCCUGUGAAACGAAGUCUAUUCACC